rnacentral:rRNA from 1 species
GAGUUUGAUUCUGGCUCAGGACGAACGCUGGCGGCGUGCUUAACACAUGCAAGUCGAACGAAAAGACGGAAAGAGCUUGCUCUUUUCAGAAUUGAGUGGCAAACGGGUGAGUAACACGUAAACAACCUGCCUUCAGGAUGGGGACAACAGACGGAAACGACUGCUAAUACCGAAUAAGUUCCAAGGGCCGCAUGGCCCAUGGAAGAAAAGGUGGCCUCUACCUGUAAGCUAUCGCCUGAAGAGGGGUUUGCGUCUGAUUAGCUGGUUGGAGGGGUAACGGCCCACCAAGGCGACGAUCAGUAGCCGGUCUGAGAGGAUGAACGGCCACACUGGAACUGAGACACGGUCCAGACUCCUACGGGAGGCAGCAGUGGGGAAUCUUCCGCAAUGGGUGAAAGCCUGACGGAGCAACGCCGCGUGAGUGAUGACGGCCUUCGGGUUGUAAAACUCUGUGAUCCGGGACGAAAAGGCAGAGUGCGAAGAACAAACUGCAUGACGUACCGAAAG